rnacentral:rRNA from 1 species
GACGAACGCUGGCGGCGUGCUUAACACAUGCAAGUGGAGCGACGAACCGGGCUUCGGCCCGGGGCAAAGCCGCGAACGGGUGAGUAACACGUGGGUCAUCUGCCCCGUUGAUCGGGACAACCCGGGGAAACCCGGGCUAAUACCGAAUGUGCCCCUUGGGGGAAAGGAAGCUUCGGCCUCCGCAACGGGAUGAGCCCGCGGCCCAUUGGCUUGUUGGUGGGGGAAUGGGCAACCAAGGCUGCGGUGGGGACCUGGUCUGAGAGGACGAGCGGCCACACUGGGACUGAGACACGGCCCAGACUACUACGGGAGGCAGCAGGUGGGAAUCGUGCGCAAUGCGCGAAAGCGUGACGCAGCAACGCCGCGUGGAGGAAGACGGCCUUCGGGUUGUAAACUCCUUUCAGUUGGGACGAAGCUUCGUCGGUUAAUAGCCGGUUGAAGUGACGGUACCUUCAGAAGAAGCCCCGGCUAACUACGUGCCAGCAGCCGCAGUAACAC